rnacentral:rRNA from 1 species
UAGGGAAUCUUCCGCAAUGGGCGAAAGCCUGACGGAGCAACGCCGCGUGAGUGAUGAAGGUCUUCGGAUCGUAAAACUCUGUUAUUAGGGAAGAACAAAUGUGUAAGUAACUAUGCACGUCUUGACGGUACCUAAUCAGAAAGCCACGGCUAACUACGUGCCAGCAGCCGCGGUAAUACGUAGGUGGCAAGCGUUAUCCGGAAUUAUUGGGCGUAAAGCGCGCGUAGGCGGUUUUUUAAGUCUGAUGUGAAAGCCCACGGCUAAACCGUGGAGGGUCAUUGGAAACUGGAAAACUUGAGUGCAGAAGAGGAAAGUGGAAUUCCAUGUGUAGCGGUGAAAUGCGCAGCGAUAUGGAGGAACACCAGUGGCGAAGGCGACUUUCUGGUCUGUAACUGACGCUGAUGUGCGAAAGCGUGGGGAUCAAACAGG